CCGGAAGCUGCUGCACCGCGCGCGCGCUCACUGAGAUCCGAGGUUUGGGAGAAAAACGGAAAACCCAGUGGAACACCAAUGCCGACGGUGACGGCUGACGCCAGGAUAGCGGCCACGGGCUCGAAGCGAGGGCAACCCGGCUCUUGUCCCAAGAAAGGAAUCCGCUCCCCGCUGCCCUCCACGGUGGCGCAUCGCCGGCGGGGCUGCACGUUGAGCCCCAACUUUUCCAGGCGCUGAUGCUCGCUCUGCAGAGUUGGUCUGAUGGAGCAAAGGCACUCAGCGCAGCUCGUUACAAGAAGGAAACAAUGCGACCAGAAUGCAAACAGCAUGGAUCGUACUGGAAACUUGACACAGCACCAGAGAACACACACAGGAGAGAAACCCUUCAA